rfam:Apaloderma vittatum contig2498, whole genome shotgun sequence.
UAGUUCAGUCAGUUGAGCGUGGCGCUAACAACGCUAAGGUCAUGGGUUCAAUUCCUGU